rnacentral:lncRNA from 1 species
AGCUUUCGGAUUUUAUUUCUCACUCUACAGGUGUCAGAAAAAUAUGAAACCUUAAAUCUAGCCUCAUAAAAAUAUUUCUGACAUCUCUGCCAAUUUUCAUAAUUUUCUGAGACUGCAUUUUCUGCUAAUUUAUCUGCCCCGUUUCCAACAGAAAAUUCUAAAUCUUCUGUUUUAAUUCCGAUUUCAGCACAGGUCAUUUCUGACUUAUGUUUUACUCCUACAAAUCCAAUAAAAAUAGUUUCUCACACUAUUUUUAUUUAUUUUUAUUUUUAUACCAAAAUCUGGUAUGUUACAUUCUCCACCCCUUAAAAGAAUUUCGUCCGCGAAAUUCAAACCAUGCCUAAAUUCAGCUCCGCGAGCAAUUGAGAGUACCGACUCAUUCUCCCACUCCAGAGCGGCUUCACACUAUCGUGGUUCCAGAAGCGGCUCAUACUGAAGGACGUGGGUUUAAUCCUAAACUCACUUGCAAAGUGUGAUACAAAUGUGCAUCACAGGUCUUGCAAGUCAUAGUGGCAGCGCAAGUCGAUACUCGACGACUCUACGCGCUCCAACACCACUCGCCACUCGGUACACAAAGAACUCUUUAUUGCACUGGCCUUCCCUUUUGGGAAUACAUUCCAAUUCGAUCGCCGACAUUGCUUAGAAGAAAUAUCACCGGUGCAUCGCUCCGUCGUGAGUGCUAUAAUUUGGCACUGACCCUAAACGUUAACGUGAGAUGGCCUAUCUUAGCACAUCCCCAAUUCCAAUCCUCCAAGUCCACGUGGCUUACUACUCGCUCAAGGUCUCACCAAGAGCACUUCAUCUUCUGAUACCAUAUGCCACGGUCAAAAUCGAACUACUUUCGCAACGAGCUCACGCGAGCGCUUCGUUCGUAAAUUCGAGUCAAAUUCCUCGAUAAGGCCACUUACCAAAUCGCUCUCUUCGGUCUCCACAGGUGGACCAAAGGCCACCAAUCCUACGUAGGCCUACCACCUAAACCUGUCUCAAUACGCAGCGUCUCUCGCUCGCAAAUGCAGACCGAAUCAUGAUCGGACGAAAUUCUCACUUGGGAAUUCGCACACACUCCAACCAGGAGCAACUAAGACCCCAAACCACGUCAAGUCCUCGGGUUGGGUCACAACCAUACUCGGUGUACCAUCGGUCACACAAUCUAUCACGUGGCAUUCCACGCUCCCGGGCCUAAACUCAGACUACCGUCCUGACCAGAACUCUGCCCUACCCGUAGGUACCGGGCCGCUGUCACUCACAGCUGACUGCGCUUGCCCAAUGGGCCCAGGCUCCACAGUCCACAAAUAGUCCAGGCACGGGUCGUCCCCAAGCACUACCCGCCGUCAUCGUCCUACACGACAUACUCUACCGAAUCAUACGUGCCAAUAUCGGCUCCUAUGCACCUAGUGCGAGUCACCAGUCCCACGAGUGAUCCAUGGCAUGCUUCACACCUAGCAAUGCUCAAGUGCUACUGCCAAUACACUCUCUCAGCUGUAUCCACAUUUGCACUCUACGGGUAUCUACACUCGGGCGCUCUACGCCCCUACAGCAUUUCACACGAGAUCCAGCAUUAGGCAAUCUUGCCUAUGCACACCGGACGCACGAGCACAACCGCCUACCUCACCUUGAGGUACUACUAGGCCCACGUGCUCAAACUUGGCCACUAAUCGACCGUUCUCUCAACAGUGAUGCCACUUUCACUGUUCGAUCUACCGGAAUGACAUCCAAAAUUUUCGGACUACUCGGGUGCCCAUAAGCAUUAUGGCUCGACUCUCGCAAUUUACUACUCAUAUUGCUCUGAGAGUCAUUUCGACACUUCUAUCUCUACCGCGAGUCUCACUUCUCGCCAUAGAUUACUUCUAGCACUUUGCUAGUGCCAUCUGGCUUUAUACCUAUACUGGCAGGUACUACGCCCUCACAUAAUACAAAACUCCAUUUCUAGAGCAAUCAAAUCUAUCUCCAGAAAUCCACCAUGAGAGAGAGCUUAGAAACUUACCUCUCCAAGAAGCUCCAACCAAGGAGAAGAUGAAGAAGAUGAGAAAGACAUCCUUCUUCUUCUCUUUCUUUCCUUUCCUUUCUUCUUCCUCUUUUUGUCUUCUAGAGAGAGAAAGAGAGAUAUGAGAGGGUGUGUGGGUGAGAAAUAAGAGAAAAGAGCUCUCAUACCCCUCACAUAGCCCCACAUGUUGCAUAAGUGCAAACAAGCCCCUCAACUUUUAUCCUUUUACAUUGCCCUCACUGGGCCACUUUCGGGUUCGGGGACCGGUCUCCCCGACGAGGGACCGGUCUCCGAGAGCUUCUCCCCGCAGUCAGCAGAGCUCGCACCCGAUGCAACCGGUCUUUCUUUGGGGGACCGGUCUCUCAGGGACCGGUCUCUCCAGCAGGGACCGGUCUCCGAGAGCUGUCCACCAAGGACUUAGCCAAUUUUUCUCUCCUAUUGCUGCCUGCGCGUUUGGGGACCGGUCUCUCCCCACAGGGACCGGUCUCCGAGAACAGAAAACCUACAGUUUGCAGAUUUUCAUUUCCAAGGCUCUCGAAGAUCCCCAGUAAUGCACUUUUGCAUUAUUUGACGCCUUCGGCCUUUCCAAAGCGUACCAACCUCGCUCUUUGGUCAAUUUGACCGAGGUUCGAUACUUGGUUACCGAAAUUUUGGUAUAUUACAUACCCGCUCAACAAGUAGUCGAUUCUGGACGAAGUCCAACUCUCGGCUCUCGAGAAUUCACUUCGUUACAACCAUACUGUACCAGUACACACCUGGUGUUAAACUGGUAACACAUAUUCCAGAAUUUCAGUUUUGCAUCGCUUCGACUCCAAUUCACGCCGAGCAACGCUAAAACUAUUCUAACUCUUUUAGAACUUAAUUCUAACCCUUCCAAUAUUGUUGGAAUGUAAAUUGGAUUUUGUCCAACUACUUCUCUCGACGCACUUUGGCCAACUUGACCAAAAGUGAUCUAACACGAUGAGGAUUCCGUUAAUUUCUCAAAGGCCACAAGGGCCACCAAAACUCGCGAAGUUCCAAGUCUCCGCUCGCCUCAACUUGCCCAGGGACACCGCUUGGCCCAUCCCGCGCCGAUCUAAAUGAAGAUCGCCUACGCGGUGCUAUCGCUUCCUAAAACGCGACAACUCUAUUAAUCCUCGACCUUUUAGGUCGAACACAAGACACUUAAUACCGACUCAAAUCGGGCGAAAGUCACGCAAAGGCGUCUACUCUCAUCACUCGGCUUCAUGUUGUGUGCACCCAACAUGAACACCCUCUAUUGAGAAUAAACCUUACCUUGAGUCUACCUCUAAUAUCCAUUUUAGAGGUUUAUGACACAACCCAAUCAAUUAACCUUUCGCCAAAAGUCACAAGUCAUCGUCUCUCACGAACCUUAAUCUCCUAUGGCUUGCUAACCUAGGGUCUCCUAGGUCCAACUAAACCAUUUUCUAUUAUUCUUUUUAUGUUUCUUUUAUGCUCUGAUACCAUCUUAUCUGUCACGCCCCGCGACCGCCCUCCUAUUUGGCCGGGUCGCGGCGCCGCCGACAGAUCGCCGAACGGACAGGGUUUCCCCUGUACUGCGGACAAAGUCUCCCCUGUACGUUCAAGGCAUAACAAUCAAUACAAUGUGCGAAGUUCCAACCAGGAACACAUUUCAAUCAAGGAUUACAUAAUGGAAGGUAUCAAACAACAUAACACAUCCUAUGAUAUUACAUGCAUUCACAUUCAUCCAUUUUUACAUUACAAAUCUCAUUAGAUUCCAACAUUAGCUUUCACUUAACUUCCAAAUACAAUCCAAUUUAACAAUAUUAUUACAACUUGAUUCUUUUCAUUCUUCACAACCCUAAGUAAGGCCGACUCAGGGUACCGCUAUCUCUGGUCUCGGUGGUAGGGCGCUAACUAUGGAGCUACGCCCUCGCCUCGUGCCGCCGCGCCGCUCACGUGCGAACCUGUAACACCCCAAAAUCACGUGGGGUGAGAACCAACUCCAUGGUUCCUAGUGGGUACGGCCACCCAAGGAAAAAGCUCGACCAAUAGGUCCAAGGGAGGCAACUGCAAGUUAGUUCAAUAAACAGAUAGAUAUAUAUCUUGAUUAUGCAACGAAUAAAACCAUGCAUUGCCUCACGAAUGCAAUAAUGCAAUGCUAUAUGCAAAUCAUGCAAUAAUGCAACUAUGCAACCAACUAGUAGUUCAUUUGACACUACUUUCAAUUCUGCUAACCAUAGCUCAUCCAUUCGAUAUCUAAGGUUUCCUCUAUCUUAGAUUCUUGUCAAUCACCGUUUUAAUCAUAAAGUUUCAUCUACCUUUACAAGGCUAACCACCCGACUCGGUCUUGAGUCAAUCGUCUGCGGAGUACCGCACUAGAACCAGGCUCGAGGCGAUGGACGUCUCACAUACACCUCAGCCCUAGAUCCUCUCGACUAGGAUACCAAAUCCAUAACUCAUAAUGCAUACUUGUUGUACACUCAUUUGGCUAUGACCCAAUCUUACCGGUUAACCAUGUUAACCCCAAUAACUCACAACCAAAUCCCUUAAUAACGGGGGACUCGAACCUCCCUAGGGACCGUCAACUGGUGGGACUUUACCACGCCCAGUGGUGACCAACUCCGGAGCGCACCGCCCGAGGGGGAGCUACCUCCCUCAAGCCAAGACGUAACGUGAGUAUCGAUCCAAUCCUCAACUUGAGGAUUCAUAGCCACUCGUCACAAUGCCAAUGUCAUGAUAGGUCUCUACCUAUUUAAUCAUGCCACUCUCUAUGUCAACUUGGACCAAUGUCAAUAUGGUUAAACUAUGUUUAACAAUCACUUUCUUGAUGCCAAUCAUGUCUCUAUUGUCAUUGUCACCCUUGUUUACUAAUGUUCAAGUCCAACUCUCACAUUUACACAAUAAUAGGGUCCUAACAUACAUGAAUGACACCAGAAUAUAUAUGAUCAAUCACCACAAGUGUUUGCUAGGUUCAAGAUGCUAGGUUUAAUGCCACUCGAUCUAAUAUAUAUAUAGAUUGUCCACUAUGUUCCACAACAUGGCAAUAUGUCAUCAAGUAUGUUUUUCUAUUUAACAUAAUCCACAAUAUGUAAAUUCAUAAUAUAUCAUCAUGCACAUAUACCACUAGCAUCACAUGAUUUGUCAACAUACAUAUAGUCAUUAUCCAAAAUAGUCCAUACUUAGCAUCUCAUGCAUUCUUUUAGCACUUAAUUCAUUAUGCAUUACAUUUAGCAUUUCUAUAGUAUGUUAACAUGCAUUCUUUUCACAUUCUUAUAUUAUGUCAAUAUGCAUCAAUAUGAAAUCUCAUUUCUUAGACAUAAAGGGCGACCUAGUCGCUUCGGUAAACACAACCCACCUCAUUUCGCAUUCCGAUUGCUUGUCGACACUUGCAAUCGGCCGCCCGCGGCACCCGGCACCCGGUUUGGCCCGAUCUCUCACGCGACCACCCGAACGGCCUCCAAUUCACGAUCCGAAAAUUAAAGGUCUUCGGUUAUGUGCCACGAUGCUUCAAAUCCAUUUUCAUGAAUUUACGGUAUCGCCUCGGCCCUCCCGGCGGACCCGAAGCCUAAACGUCCAUUUCUUUAAUAACUUUGUAACGGCUCGUCGGAUUGCCGAACCGUCUUCGCCAACGCGUUUCGUUACCUAGCAAUUUGGUUUACGGAGGGUCAAAUGAGAUCAAACCCUCAUAUGUUGAAAGUUUGCAUUUUGAGCCCUAGGUUUACAACUAUGCAAGAAAUCAUUAAAUUGCUCUAUGAUUCAAGCAUUAAUCAUCUAUUAGGCAUCAAUGGGUUCCACUAAAACCAUUUCCAAAGCAUUUAGACCUAUCUUUAGAGAUCUACCAUUAAAGCCCUCAUUUUGGAGCUCUAGGUUUCAAUAGGUAAAAAUCCACCAUUAGAGCCUUGAUUUCAAGCAUCAAACCUCUAAUUAGCAUGCUAGAAUACCUCUAAAUCCAUUCUUAGAGCUUAAAAACCAAACUAGAGAGAAAUGCCAUUAAAGGGUUUGAAGCUUACCUUCAAAGCUUGCUCUAAUGGAGAAGAAGAAGAUAGAGAAGAUGAAAAUCCAUCCUUGAGCUUCAAUCUCCACCAAAACCCUCUCUUUUUGGGAGAGAUUUAGAGAGAGAAAGGGAGAUCUCUCUCUCCCUCCAUGUAUGCGUGUGUGUGUGUGUGGCGUGUGCGCGUGUGGUGUGCGGCCGAAGGAGAAGAAGAAGCAGCAGCUUCUUAAUAAUACCCCCAAGACACUAUUCACUCCCGGGCAGCUUGAAAUCUGAUAACUUUCGCCGGAGCUCCCUGAAUGUCCGUUUGAGCUCAAACUUGACAGUCAUGUUCGGUUUUACUUAACUUAACAAGCUGACGAUCACUGGUUCAGUUUCGACCCCGUUUGGUCACUGAAAACUGUACCGAAUUGCAAUCUUUAUCAGAUAGCUUUCGGAUUUUAUUUCUCACUCUACCGGUGUCAAAAAAAUAUGAAACCUUAAAUCUAGCAUCAUAAAAAUAUUUCUGACAUCUCUGCCAAUUUUCAUAAUUUUCUGAGACUGUGCAUUUUCUGCUAAUUUAUCUGCCCCGUUUCCAACAGAAAAUUCUAAAUCUUCUGUUUUAAUUCCGAUUUCAGCACAGGUCAUUUCUGACUUAUGUUUUACUCCUACAAAUCCAAUAAAAAUAGUUUCUCACACUAUUUUUAUUUAUUUUUAUUUUUAUACCAAAAUCUGUUAUGUUACAUCACUGAUCUGUUGGCGCAGCAGACGGCAGCGGCGCAGCGACAGGCUGAGGUGGCUCAGCGGCAGGAGGCGCGGAUGA